CAGGCUUGCAGACCUCUCAGCAAUAGCAGAAUGUGGGCUGAAGCCAUCCAAGUUACAAGCAAAUCAAAGCUGAGUUGGGGUUUGAGUCUCUUUGCCUAGUCUAGGUCAAAUCUCUCCAAUAUAGGAAUUACCAAGCAUGGCACUCAGGACAACAGUCAACUGAAGGAAAUGGUCUCCAGCUGUGGGAGUCUCCUGUGAGAAGUCGAUGACUUGGCAGAACUGUCACAUCAGCAAGGACAAUGAAGUCCUUCUGCAUGUCUGCGUCUGUGGCCUCCUUUACUGGCUGAAGUCCUGCAUCAGUACUCCAUAGAAAGCCUUGCCAAGGCAGUCUGCUCAAGAGGGGACACGUCUGCUCAUUUUACUCAAAAUUUUGAAGAAUUUUCACCAGAGCACUGCACAGUCUGAGGACGUUGCUGCAGAAAGGUCAUCUGGUUUGCAGCAAACUACAAGAGGCUUUGGAUAUAGAUGUCUUGUUUAUCCCAUUGGCCCAGAUCUUCAGAGGCAUGUAGGCUCCUAACUUCCAUUGACUCCAUGCCUGGAUUAUUGUAUCUAGAAGAGGCCCUAAAAGGUCUUUGUGGUGAGGCUGUGCAGGUAGCUGAUGUUUUGUAUUCCUUGCUCAAAACAAGGAUUUAUUAAAAUUUUUAGCAUUGAACAA